rnacentral:rRNA from 1 species
UACGUAGGUGACAAGCGUUGUCCGGAUUUACUGGGCGUAAAGAGCGCGCAGGCGGUCGUUCAAGUCGCGUGUGAAAGCCCCCGGCUCAACUGGGGAGGGUCACGCGAUACUGAUCGACUCGAAGGCAGGAGAGGGAAGUGGAAUUCCCGGUGUAGUGGUGAAAUGCGUAGAUAUCGGGAGGAACACCAGUGGCGAAGGAGACUUCCUGGCCUGUUCUUGACGCUGAGGCGCGAAAGCUAGGGGAGCAAACGGG